AGGUUGCCAACUGGUUCCUUAAUUCUCUACUUGCUGGCCAAGUGGGAAGUGCUGGGAAAAUCAGAGCAAAGGACAAAAGAAAAUAGGAUUCCUGGAAUCUCUGAGGUCUGGAGAAACCAUAGAUUGCAUCUUUGGGCACGUGCUUACUGCUUUGGAUGCCUCAAGAUGAGACAUCAAGGCUUGGAGAAACUGAGAACUUGGUGCAUGAGAUAGUAAGAGAGAGCAGAGCCUGCAAUUUAAAACUUGCCCAGUUUCCAGUAUCCCAGCAAUAGCUUUAUGCUUAUGGAUGCUGUAGGCUCCUGAAUGGUUAUGUUCAGACUGCAGCACACGUAAGCACUGUGGAUAUUAGGAAUCUUGAAGAUGAUGUGCUACUGGAACCACCACUAGUUUCUACAUAUGGGAAAUUGCCAUCACUCCUAAAAGUUCCACUUUGUUUCCAUAACACCCUGUUCCCAGCUCCAGUCCCAACCACUGAUUUGCUAUUUUGAGAAACUUGCUGUUUUUGAGAAAUUUGUGGAAGUGGAAC